CCGCAUAGACCUGCUGCGGCGAGAUAUAGUGGACAUGCGUGUCCAUCCCGCCCGCGGUGAGGAUGAGAUGCUCACCGGAGAUCGCAUCGGUCGCCGCGCCUGUCACGAGACCCGGCGUCACGCCCUCCAUGGUCGAAGGGUUGCCGGCCUUGCCGAGGCCGACGAUACGGCCGUUGCGGAUGCCGACGUCGGCCUUCACGACGCCGAGCGUCGGCUCCAGCACCGUGACAUUCGUGAUGACGAGGUCGAGACAGCCGGCUUCCUGGGUCAGCUGGUUGUCCGAGCCCAUGCCGUCGCGCAG
rnacentral:sRNA from 1 species